rnacentral:rRNA from 1 species
GACGAACGCUGGCGGCGUGCUUAACACAUGCGAGUCGAACGCUGAAGCACCAGCUUGCUGGUGUGGAUGAGUGGCGAACGGGUGAGUAAUACGUGAGUAACCUGCCCUUGACUCUGGGAUAAGCCCGGGAAACUGGGUCUAACACUGGAUGCUACAUGUCACCGCAUGGUGGUGUGUGGAAAGGGUUUACUGGUCUUGGAUGGGCUCACGGCCUAUCAGCUUGUUGGUGAGGUAAUGGCUCACCAAGGCGACGACGGGUAGCCGGCCUGAGAGGGUGACCGGCCACACUGGGACUGAGACACGGCCCAGACUCCUACGGGAGGCAGCAGUGGGGAAUAUUGCACAAUGGGCGAAAGCCUGAUGCAGCGACGCCGCGUGAGGGAUGACGGCCUUCGGGUUGUAAACCUCUUUCAGCAGGGAAGAAGCCACAAGUGACGGUACCUGCAGAAGAAGCGCCGGCUAACUACGUGCCAGCCGCCGCUGUAA